GGCGUGAGGGUACUGCACAUGCAGUCGUACGAAUGAGCAGCCAAGCAGCUUGCUGCUUUGCUGACGAGUGGCGGACGGGUGAGUAAUGUCUGGGAAACUGCCUGAUGGAGGGGGAUAACUACUGGAAACGGUAGCUAAUACCGCAUAACGUCGCAAGACCAAAGAGGGGGACCUUCGGGCCUCUUGCCAUCGGAUGUGCCCAGAUGGGAUUAGCUAGUAGGUGGGGUAACGGCUCACCUAGGCGCACGAUUCCCUAUGCUGGUCGGAGAGGAUGACCAGCCACACUGGAACUGAGACACCGUCCAGACUCCUACGGGAGGCAGCAGUGGGGAAUAUUGCACAAUGGGCGCAAGCCUGAUGCAGCCAUGCCGCGGUGUAUGAAAGAAGGCCUUCGGGUUGUAAAGUACUUUCAGCGGGGAGGAAGGGAGGUAAAGUUAAUACCUUUGCUCAUUGACGUUACCCGCAGAAGAAGCACCGGCUAACUCCGUGCCAGCAGCCGCGGUAAUACGGAGGGUGCAAGCGUUAAUCGGAAUUACUGGGCGUAAAGCGCACGCAGGCGGUUUGUUAAGUCAGAUGUGAAAUCCCCGGGCUCAACCUGGGAACUGCAUCUGAUACUGGCAAGCUUGAGUCUCGUAGAGGGGGGUAGAAUUCCAGGUGUAGCGGUGAAAUGCGUAGAGAUCUGGAGGAAUACCGGUGGCGAAGGCGGCCCCCUGGACGAAGACUGACGCUCAGGUGCGAAAGCGUGGGGAGCAAACAGGAUUAGAUACCCUGGUAGUCCACGCCGUAAACGAUGUCGACUUGGAGGUUGUGCCCUUGAGGCGUGGCUUCCGGAGCUAACGCGUUAAGUCGACCGCCUGGGGAGUACGGCCGCAAGGUUAAAACUCAAAUGAAUUGACGGGGGCCCGCACAAGCGGUGGAGCAUGUGGUUUAAUUCGAUGCAACGCGAAGAACCUUACCUGGUCUUGACAUCCACGGAAGUUUUCAAGAGAUGAGAAUGUGCCUUCGGGAACCGUGAGACAGGUGCUGCAUGGCUGUCGUCAGCUCGGGUUGUGAAAUGGUGAGUUAAGUCCCGCAACGAGCGCAACACUUAUCCUUUGGUGCCAGCGGUCCGGCCGGGAACUUCAAAGGAGAACUGCCAGUGAUAAACUGGAGGAAGGUGGGGAUGAGCGUCAAGUCACCAUUGGCCCUAACGUACAAGGGCUACACAGCGUGCUACAAUGGCGCAUACAAAGAGAAGCGACCUCGCGAGAGCAAGCGGACCUCAUAAAGUGCGUCGUAGUCCGGAUUGGAGUCUGCAACUCGACUCCAUGAAGUCGGAAUCGCUAGUAAUCGUGGAUCAGAAUGCCACGGUGAAUACGUUCCCGGGCCUUGUACACACCGCCCGUCACACCAUGGGAGUGGGUUGCAAAAGAAGUAGGUGAUGCUUGAUCUGCGCGAAGAUGACCAGUAGCUCUGAUGCGGAC
rnacentral:rRNA from 1 species